rnacentral:rRNA from 1 species
UUUCUUUAGAAGUAUUUUAAAGGUAAUACCUGCUCAAUGAAUAUUAAAUUGCCGCAGUAUUAUGACUGUGCUAAGGUAGCAUAAUAAUUUGUCUUUUAAAUGGGGACUGGAAUGAAAGGUUUUAUGAGGGUAUGUUGAUGAUUUAAUGAACUUUUGAAGUUAAGGUUUAAGUUAAAAUUCUUAAAUUUAUUUGAGGGACGAGAAGACCCUGUGGAUCUUUAUAUUGGAUAUAAUAAAUUAUUAUAAAUGUUUUAUUAUUUUAAAAAUUUGAUUGGGACGAUUAUUAUUUUAACAUAAUUUUAAAGAUUUAUUUUGAUCCUUCUAAAGGAAUUAAGAUUAAGUUACCCCAGGGAUAACAGCGUUAUACUAUUGGAUAGUUCAUAUUGAUAAUAAUGUUUGCGACCUCGAUGUUGAAUUAAAAUUUCUUUUUAAAGCAGAAGUUAAAUUAGUAAGUCUGUUCGACUUUUAAAAUUUU